rnacentral:rRNA from 1 species
AGCGAACGCUGGCGGCAGGCCUAACACAUGCAAGUCGAACGAACCCUUCGGGGUUAGUGGCGGACGGGUGAGUAACACGUGGGAACGUGCCUUUAGGUUCGGAAUAACUCAGGGAAACUUGUGCUAAUACCGAAUGUGCCCUUCGGGGGAAAGAUUUAUCGCCUUUAGAGCGGCCCGCGUCUGAUUAGCUAGUUGGUGAGGUAAUGGCUCACUAAGGCUACGAUCAGUAGCUGGUCUGAGAGGAUGACCAGCCACAUUGGGACUGAGAACACGGCCCAAACUCCUACGGGAGGCAGCAGUGGGGAAUCUUGCGCAAUGGGCGAAAACCUGACGCAGCCAUGCCGCGUGGAUGAUGAAGGUCUUAGGAUUGUAAAAUCCUUUCACCGGUGAAGAUAAUGACUGUAGCCGGAGAAGAAGCCCCGGCUAACUUCGUGCCAGCCGCCGCAGUAAGAC